rnacentral:lncRNA from 1 species
GGCCCAGGGUGUCUGUGCAGAGCUUUAAUUUUUAACAGAAAAUAUUUUAUAUUCUGGUUAUGAAAAGCCUUACAUCAGGAAUAAAAGCUACCUAUAAUUCUCAUUACUUAGGGCAGUUUUUUUUUCACCUCUGCAGAGAGGUUGGUCAUAUCCAUGGUGACCAUUUAUGGGCCACAACAGGUCCCCAUCUGCGCAGUGAACCCUGUGCUGAGCACCUUGCAGACGUGAUCUUGCUUCAUCCUGCAGCACUGUGUGGGGCAGGAAAAUCCAAGAGGAAGAAGGAUCUACGGAUAUCCUGCAUGUCCAAGCCACCCGCACCAAACCCCACAACCCCCCGGAACCUGGACUCCCGGACCUUCAUCACCAUUGGAGACACAGUAGGUGCCAGCCGCCACCCCUGCAGGGCCUCUCACUUCACCUGACGAGCGGGUAGAGCUGACCCUGCAGGACCACUCUUGGGGGAGGUGACUGAGGGGUCAGAGAGGGUCAGGCUCUGGAGAAGAGCCUCAUCCUGCGCUGCUGCUGUGUGGCCCUGGGCCACCCACUCUUUGACCCUCCUGGUGGGAAUGAGGACCAUUGGCUGCCUGACUGGAGCUUGGCGAGCCCAGAGCUGGUAGGAAGGUUUCUGAGCUGAGAGCAAGGCCCUGCACCUCAUCCUAGCCCUAGGGGAGAGUAUUGAACAUGCAGGCUCCUAGGCCGCCCUGGACCCGCUGGAUCACUCCCUCAGGCCAGCACCUGGGAAACCUGCAUUUUAUGCUUCCAGAAGCCUCAGAAGGGCACUAGCCAUUCAGAAUCCUGGCUCAGGGACCGUGCUAUGCCCAGUUCCUCCCAACAGAAACCCUACUCCCAGGCCAGGUGCAGUGGCUCACACCUGUAAUCCCCACACUUUGGGAGGCCAAGGCAGGAGGAUCACUUGAGCCUAGGAGCUUGGGACCAGGCCUGGGCAACAUGGUGAAACCCUGUCUGUACAAAAAUACAAGAAAUUA